rnacentral:rRNA from 1 species
GAUGAACGCUGGCGGCGUGCCUAAUACAUGCAAGUCGAGCGAACAGACGAGGAGCUUGCUCCUCUGACGUUAGCGGCGGACGGGUGAGUAACACGUGGAUAACCUACCUAUAAGUCUGGGAUAACUUCGGGAAACCGGAGCUAAUACCGGAUACUAUAUUGAACCGCAUGGUUCAAUUGUAAAAGACGGUUUUGCUGUCACUUAUAGAUGGAUCCGCGCCGCAUUAGAUAGUUGGUAAGGUAACGGCAUACCAACGCAACGAUGCGUAGCCUAGGUGAGAGGGUGGUAAGCCACACUGGAACUGAGACGCGAUACAGACUACUACGGGAGGCGACGGAGGGGAGACUUCCACAAUGGAAGGGAGGCGGACGGGACAACGCCAAGUAGGGGAUAGGAGUCUUGGGAUCGGAGUAGUCUGUUAUUUGGAAAGAACAAUAGAGUAAGUAACUAGGCGCGUAUUGACGGUACCUAAUCAAAAAGCAACGGCUAACUACGUG